UACGAAGGGGGCUAGCGUUGUUCGGAAUUACUGGGCGUAAAGCGCGCGCAGGCGGUCUUCCAAGUCAGUGGUGAAAGCCCGGAGCUCAACUCCGGAACUGCCAUUGAAACUGUAAGACUUGAGGAUGAGAGAGGUGAGUGGAAUUCCCAGUGUAGAGGUGAAAUUCGUAGAUAUUGGGAAGAACACCGGUGGCGAAGGCGGCUCACUGGCUCAUUACUGACGCUCAUGCGCGACAGCGUGGGGAUCAAACAGG
rnacentral:rRNA from 1 species